rnacentral:rRNA from 1 species
CCUACGGGUGGCAGCAGUGAGGAAUAUUGGUCAAUGGGCGCGAGCCUGAACCAGCCAAGUAGCGUGAAGGAUGACUGCCCUACGGGUUGUAAACUUCUUUUAUAAAGGAAUAAAGUGAGGCACGUGUGCCUUAUUGUAUGUACUUUAUGAAUAAGGAUCGGCUAACUCCGUGCCAGCAGCCGCGGUAAUACGGAGGAUCCGAGCGUUAUCCGGAUUUAGUGGGUUUAAAGGGAGCGUAGAUGGGUUGUUAAGUCAGUUGUGAAAUUUUGCGGCUCAACCGUAAGAUUGCAGUUGAUACUGGCAGCCUUGAGUACAGGAGAGGUAGGCGGAAUUCGUGGUGUAGCGGUGAAAUGCUUAGAUAUCACGAAGAACUCCGAUUGCGAAGGCAGCUUACUGGACUGCAACUGACGCUGAGGCUCGAAAGUGUGGGUAUCAAACAGGAUUAGAUACCCGAGUAGUC